AUGGUGUUGCGGGACGACAAGGGAGCUGUGAUUUUCUCGUCCUGUCGUUAUCUCCGCUCAUGCUACUCGCCGCUUGAGGCGGAGCUAGCUGCUUGCCUCGAAGGAAUCGGUCUGGCACUCGCUCACACUGAUAACAACCUGAUCAUUGAACUUGAUUGUAAAGAAGCAGUGGACAUGCUGAAUGACAUAUGCAUGAAUCGAUCAGCUGUGGCUAGUAUGGUAGAGGAGGUGAAGAGCCUGCUGCAUGGCAUCCGAUGUCACAAAUUCGUGCAUGCAGGCAGGCCAUGCAAUGUUGCUGCUCACUAUAUGGCACAUAUGGGACGUUCUUCUCAGCGUACGGCCAUUUGGUUUAGCUCUGGGCCAGAGGAUUUAUGUAUGAUCUGUGAAACUGAGUGUAGACACACUACUUAA
rnacentral:rRNA from 1 species